UUGCACUAGAAUGAAUACAGCGCUUUAUGUAUGAUUACUGUUAUUAAAGUUGAAAUUGACUUAAAAUACUUACCACCUGCCUUGGUUACUACAGUUACCUGGAAUUAUUCAACUUCUGAGGUCGUGUGUGUCAAUGUACAUCAAGAAGAAGUGCUAAGAUGAUGCUUUUGGAAGAUCUAUCAGUAGCAGUCUUGCUCACAUAAGUGCUAAAAACUUAAUUUCCGAGAACCAAUAAGACCGUGAACAAAUGAUGGCUAUGACAACCAAGCACAGAGACACCUAGACAGAAGAGUGAACAGAUGUCACCACAAACAGUCGUCAUAGAAAGCACUGACUGGCUUUUGUUAAGUGCUGGGUAUGUCAUAGACAAGAUGCUCCUACACACUCACUCAAGUACGCCUGAGCUGAUCCAGUUAACUUCAAGGAACAAGGAUAAACUAUAGGGGACUCCAAGUAAGGUGCUGACUUGAGCUGAACAAAGUUUGAUAACUUCAGAAGAAAAUAAAUUAUUGAAAUCAGCCAGACAAGAAGGAAAAAGCCAGACAAGAAGCCAGACAAGAUUUGAGGUAAAGGAGACCUUUUCCAAACCAACAGAUACAAACUUAUACCCUCACUAUAGGAAGCUUCUGAAAAGGUUUGAAAACCUAACUGCCCUUUAACUUUUUUUUUUUUUUAAUUUAUUAAUUAAUCUUUAAUUAAAAGAAAGAAACUGCAAAAGAAAAAAAAA